rnacentral:tRNA from 2 species
GGGUUCUUAGCUCAGCUGGUAGAGCAGCGGACUCUUAAUCCGUCGGUCGCGAGUUCGAAUCUCGCAGAACCCACCA